UGUUCAAAUGAGGAAAGGCUUACGGUGGAUACCUAAGGACCUAGAGACGAGGAAGGGCGUAGUAAUCGACGAAAUGCUUCGGGGAGUUGAAAAUAAGCAUAGAUUUGGAGAUUCCCGAAUAGAGAAACCUUUCAAACUACUGUUGAAGCCAUGCAUAGGUAAGAGACAACGUGGCUAACUGAAACAUCUUAGUACCUAGAGGAAAAGAAAGCAAAAGCGAUUCCAGUUGUAGUGGCGAGCAAAACGGGAGCAGCCUAAAUCAUGAAAAUGAAGUUGUGAGAGAGCAAUACAAGUGUCAUGCUGCUAGGCGAAGCAGCAGAAAUGCUACAUCCUAGAUGGCAAAAGUCUAGUAGCCAAAAGCAUCACUAGCUUACGCUCUGACCCGAGUUACAUGGGAGACGUGGAAUCUCGUGUGAAUUAGCAAGGACCACAUUACAAGGCUAAAUACUCUUGGGUGACCGAUAGCAAAGUAGUACCAUGAGGGAAGGGUGAAAAGCUCCCAAGCAAUGGGAGGAGCCAAGUCUCUGAUCGUGUGCCUGUUGAAGAAUGAGUCGACGACUCAUAGGUAGUAGCUUGGUUAAGGGAACCCAUUGGAGCCAUAGCAAAAGUAAGUCUUCAUAGGGAAAUUGUCACUACUUAUGGACCCAAACCUAGGUGAUCUAUUCAUAACCAAGAUGAAGCUCGAGUGAAACUAAAUGGAGUUCCAAACCAACUGAUGUUGAAGAAUCAGCAUAUGAGUUGUGGUUAGGGCUAAAAUACCACUCAAACCCAGAGCUAGCCAUUUCUCCCCGAAAUGCAUUGAGACGCAACAGUUGACUCAACAUCUUGGGAUAAAGCACUGUUUCGAUGCAGACUAUGAGACCGGUACCAAAUUGAGGCAAACUUUGAAUACUAGAUAUGACCUCAAAAUAACUGGGGUUAAGGUCAGCCAGUGAGACGAUGGGGGAUAAGCUUCAUCAUCGAGAGGGAAACAGACUAGAUAACCAGCUAAGGUUCCUAAAUGAUCGCUCAGUGAUAAAAGAGAUAGGGGUGUAGAGAUAGCUAGGAGGUUUGCCUAAAAGCAGCCACACUUGAAAAAGUGUGUAAUAGCUCACUGAUCUAGCACUCUUACGUCGAAGAUGAAUGGGACUAAGCGAUUUGUUGAAGCUUUGGGAUGUAAAUAUACAUCGGUAGGGGAGUGUUCCACCUUAGAAGGAAGCCCCCACGUGAGUUAGGGCCUAAGAUCAGGAUGAAAGGCAUAGUCGAUGGACAACAAGUGAAUAUUCCUAUACUAUCCCUUGUUGGUCCCGAUGGAUGGAAGAUGCUAGGUUAGCUAAAAGCUGGUUAUCGAUUCGAGAACGUAAGGUGCCCCUGUUAUUUCAGGGUAAGAAGGGGUGGAGAAAAUGCCUCGAGCCAAUGUUUGAGCACCAGGGGCUACAGUGCUGAAGUAACCCAUGCCAUACUACUAGGAAAAGCUCGAACGACCUUUAAACAAAAGGGUACCUAUACCCGAAAUCGACACAGGUGGGUAGGAAGAGAAUACCUAGGGGUGCGAGAUAACUCUCUUUAAGGAACUUGCCAAAAUAUCCUUGUAACUUCUAGAGAAGGGGUGCCUCCUUACAAAGGGGUUUGCAGUGACCAGGCCCGGGUGACUGUUUACGAAAAACACAUGUCUUCGCAAAGUCAUAAGACCAUGUAUGGGGCUGGCGCCUGCCCACUGCCGAAAGGUCAAAGAAGUUGGUGACCUGAUAAUAGAGGAGUCGACGACCAAAGCCCUGGUGAAUUGCGACUGUAACUAUAACAGUCCUAAGGUAGCAAAAUUCCUUAUCGGGUAAGUUUCGACUCGCACGAAAGGCGUAACGAUCUGAGUACUACCUCGAAAAGAGGCUUAGUGAAACAGNNNNNNNNNNNNNNNNNNNNNNNNNNNNNNNN
rnacentral:rRNA from 1 species